rnacentral:rRNA from 1 species
UGCAGUAGGCUAACUAAAGCGUGCGACUGGAAGUGCACGUCUAAGCAGUGAGGUGUGAAUUGAGUUAAAUGCUUAAUUCUAUAACAUUGAGCUGUGAUGGGGAGCGAAGUUUAGUAGCGAAGUUAGUGACGUCACACUGCCAAGAAAAGCUUCUAGCGUUAAUCAUACUCUACCCGUACCGCAAACCGACACAGGUAGUCGAGGCGAGUAGCCUCAGGUGAGCGAGAGAACUCUCGUUAAGGAACUCGGCAAAAUGACCCCGUAACUUCGGGAGAAGGGGUGCUGGCUUUCAGUCAGCCGCAGUGAAUAGGCCCAAGCAACUGUUUAUCAAAAACACAGCUCUCUGCUAAAUCGUAAGAUGAUGUAUAGGGGGUGACGCCUGCCCGGUGCUGGAAGGUUAAGAGGAGUGCUUAGCGUAAGCGAAGGUAUGAAUUGAAGCCCCAGUAAACGGCGGCCGUAACGAUAACGGUCCUAAGGUAGCGAAAUUCCUUGUCGGGUAAGUUCCGACCCGCACGAAAGGCGUAAUGAUUUGGGCACUGUCUCAACGAGAGACUCGGUGAAAUUUUAGUACCUGUGAAGAUGCAGGUUACCCGCGACAGGACGGAAAGACCCCACGGAGCUUUACUGCAGUUUGAUAUUGAGUGUCUGUGCCACAUGUACAGGAUAGGUAGGAGCCAUUGAGAUCGGGACGCCAGUUUCGAUGGAGGCGUUGUUGGGAUACUACCCUUGUGUUAUGGCCACUCUAACCCGGUAGGUUCAUCAUCUACGGAGACAGUGUCUGACGGGCAGUUUGACUGGGGCGGUCGCCUCCUAAAAGGUAACGGAGGCGCCCAAAGGUUCCCUCAGAAUGGUUGGAAAUCAUUCGCAGAGUGUAAAGGUAAAAGGGAGCUUGACUGCGAGAGCUACAACUCGAGCAGGGACGAAAGUCGGGCUUAGUGAUCCGGUGGUUCCGUAUGGAAGGGCCAUCGCUCAACGGAUAAAAGCUACCCUGGGGAUAACAGGCUUAUCUCCCCCAAGAGUUCACAUCGACGGGGAGGUUUGGCACCUCGAUGUCGGCUCGUCGCAUCCUGGGGCUGUAGUCGGUCCCAAGGGUUGGGCUGUUCGCCCACUAAAGCGGCACGCGAGCUGGGUUCAGAACGUCGUGAGACAGUUCGGUCCCUAUCCGUCGCGGGCGUAGGAAAUUUGAGAGGAUCUGCUCCUAGUACGAGAGGACCAGAGUGGACUUACCGCUGGUGUACCAGUUGUCUCGCCAGAGGCAUCGCUGGGUAGCUAUGUAGGGAAGGGAUAAACGCUGAAAGCAUCUAAGUGUGAAACCCACCUCAAGAUGAGAUUUCCCAUGAUUUUAUAUCAGUAAGAGCCCUGAGAGAAGAUCAGGUAGAUAGGUUAGGAGUGGAAGUUGUGUGAGCAAUGGGGCGGACUAAUACUAAUAGCUCGAGGACUUAUCCGA